rnacentral:tRNA from 1 species
GCCUUCGUGGUGUAGUGGUUAGCACGCUCGACGAGUAACUAGAGGUCCGUGGUUCGAUUACCGGCGAAGGCG